rnacentral:rRNA from 1 species
AGCGGAGGAAAGAAACUNANNAGGAUUCCCUCAGUNACGGCGAGUGAAGCGGGAUCAGCCCAGCACCGAAUCCCCCAGCAUGUCGCUGGCGGGAACUGUGGUGUAUGGGACGUCACCUGUCGAAUGCACCGGUNUCCGAAGUCCUCCUGAUCGGGGCCUCUCCCAGAGUGGGUGUCAGGCCUUUACAGGCCGCUGGUGCGUCGGCUGCGAGCGUCUCCGGAGUCGGGUUGUUUGGGAAUGCAGCCCUWAGCGGGUGG